GAUGAACGCUGGCGGCGUGCCUAAUACAUGCAAGUCGAGCGAACGGACGAGAAGCUUGCUUCUCUGAUGUUAGCGGCGGACGGGUGAGUAACACGUGGAUAACCUACCUAUAAGACUGGGAUAACUUCGGGAAACCGGAGCUAAUACCGGAUAAUAUUUUGAACCGCAUGGUUCAAAAGUGAAAGACGGUCUUGCUGUCACUUAUAGAUGGAUCCGCGCUGCAUUAGCUAGUUGGUAAGGUAACGGCUUACCAAGGCAACGAUGCAUAGCCGACCUGAGAGGGUGAUCGGCCACACUGGAACUGAGACACGGUCCAGACUCCUACGGGAGGCAGCGGUAGGGAAUCUUCCGCAAUGGGCGAAAGCCUGACGGAGCAACGCCGCGUGAGUGAUGAAGGUCUUCGGAUCGUAAAGCUCUGUUAUUAGGGAAGAACAUAUGUGUAAGUAACUGUGCACAUCUUGACGGUACCUAAUCAGAAAGCCACGGCUAACUACGUG
rnacentral:rRNA from 1 species